GGUUGGAACGACCGCUAAUACCCCAUAUGCCGAGAGGUGAAAGGAUUUAUUGCCUGAGGAUGAGCUCGCGUCGGAUUAGCUAGUUGGUGGGGUAACGGCUCACCAAGGCGACGAUCCGUAGCUGGUCUGAGAGGAUGACCAGCCACACUGGGACUGAGACACGGCCCAGACUCCUACGGGAGGCAGCAGUGGGGAAUUUUCCGCAAUGGGCGCAAGCCUGACGGAGCAAGACCGCGUGAGGGAAGACGGUCUGUGGAUUGUAAACCUCUUUUGAUAGGGAAGAAGUACUGACGGUACCUAUCGAAUCAGCCUCGGCUAACUCCGUGCCAGCAGCCGCGGUAAUACGGAGGAGGCAAGCGUUAUCCGGAAUUAUUGGGCGUAAAGCGUCCGUAGGUGGUUGGUCAAGUCUGCUGUCAAAGCGCGGAGCUUAACUCCGUAAAGGCAGUGGAAACUGGUCAGCUAGAGUGCGAUAGGGGCAAGGGGAAUUCCCAGUGUAGCGGUGAAAUGCGUAGAUAUUGGGAAGAACACCGGUGGCGAAAGCGCCUUGCUGGGUCUGCACUGACACUGAGGGACGAAAGCUAGGGGAGCGAAUGGGAUUAGAUACCCUCUUA
rnacentral:rRNA from 1 species